ACAUUUUGCCAUUCAAUAGUCCCCCCUAUCCGUUAAUACGCGCGAGCCUCUUCCAGUGACCUCUCUAGCAAGAAGAAAAAGGAAAAUCCAUCAUGCCACCGUUACUCCGCCUCACGUCGACGUCCAUCUCCCCCCCACCUUUCCCUCCAAAACCAUCGAUCUCAAACCACAACCUCUUAUCCAAAUGCCACCACCAUCUUCCAUCUCCGAUCGAGAUAUCUAGAAGAGACGCUGCUUUGCUCUCGGUACUCGCUCUCGUCUCUUCCCUAUCGCAGCCUGCUCCUGCUACCGCCUUUUCCAUCGGCAUUUCAGGACCUAAGGACUGGCUUAAAGAGCAAAAGAAAAAGUCCUCGAAGUUUCUAUUGGCACCUAUUGAUGCCUCCAGAGAAAUCCUUCGCUCUGCCUAUCUUCUACUCACGGCGAGUGAAUCGGGAUAUUCGAAUAAGGAGUUACAGGAAGUACAAACGCUAUUGAGAUCUGCUGCGAGGGAUUGUGUUCCACAAGAUAGGAAUUCUUUCGUGGCUUUUCAGGCCAAUACUGGAGUCGAGGUCUGCACGUUUCGAUUAAUUGUGAAGAAUGCAGCUUCAUUGCUUGAUAAAAAGGAUCCUGUAAAGUUGGAAGCUGAAGUUAUGUUGAAUGAUCUUAUAAGAUCUUUUACUUCUCUUACUGGUCUUGCAAAUGAAGCUAAUAUUCUAAUUGCUUCCGAUAGAAAGGAGAUAGCUGAUGCACUCAUGAAGACUCUGUCUUCUCUAAACAAAUUUGAGCAGGGUGUGAAGGAUUGCCUUGAAGUGUAACGAUUUUGCAUUCACGCCAAAAUUAAUAUAUUCAGAUGAAAAAUACAACUUCUGACACAAACAGAAUCUGCUUUGGGCGUCACGACUGAAGUUGAGUUGCUUCACACGCCCAAGACUCUCUGAUCAAGUGGUGUAAUGAAGUUCAAGCUUUGUGGAAAACUAGAUUUCUUCUCUUUGUGGUUUGUUUCUUAAUAUAUAUAUAUAUAUACACACACACACACACACACACACACACAUACACACACACACAUUUAGAGAGAGAGAGAGAGAGAGAGAGAGAGAGAUUGGGUUAGCCUUCGCAUAGCUUCAUUUUUUCCAAUUGUGGAGAAUGUGGUGGGAAGUGGGAAUGAUUUCCCUUUUCUUCCCCCUCUUUCAGUUAUCCCAUGCUGAACCGAUCACCUUUUUCUCCUCCAUUUGCUUUACUAAGGAAAGAAGUUUGAUAAUUAGAAGAUUCUGCAAAAAACUUUUCCUAUCAUGAGUAAAGUAUAUUCUAAGACAUGUUUGUUUGGGAGAAAAUCUGAUGUAUCUGGCAUAUACUUGGUGAGUUGCUUGGAGAACCAAACACUCAGCUCAAAUGAAAUAUGUAUGCCUUAGGCAAUACAAAAUUAGUGAUGCUUAUAUCUAUAUUAUAAUGGAAGGUGGAUACCUAUCAUUUAUACAAUAUGGCCAAUUGAUUCUUUCUAUUGAUUAGUUUAAUCAGGCAAACCAGAUGCCUGCACCAAAUACAACCGACAGCAAGGUUUUCCAUCAUCAGGAUAGGUCUGCACUGAUCUUGGCAAGCUACGAAGCUUGUUGAACAGAUUUAAUGGGUUAUCUAGGAGACCAAAAUGAGCAUCGGGAUCACCAAUCUGUGAAAGCUUUACAUUGGAAAAUCCUAUGGAUGGCAAAAGAUGAUCCGGCCAAUCACUAUAGAAAUGGAAGAUAGAAUUCGAUAGAGUGGUGGAUGGUUUAUUCAUGAAAUCUGCCAAGAGAACUGUGUGGGCAAGGGCACACUUGUCAGCUAUGAUCUUCAGCACUUGCAUGGCGUGGGUGUGGGAGAGGUAGUAGAGGAUACCUUCUAGCACCCAGACUGUGUUCUUCUGUGGCACAAACCCUGAUAUCUGUAGUUUUUCGAGCCAGUCAUUUUUGCUGAUGUCAGCUGCUACUCUGUUUAGGGAUUCUGCUAUCAUUUGUGGGCGCUGCUGAUCAUCUAUUGAUUCCAUGGCUGCCUGUAGAAGAGUUGUUUUCAUUCCUAAGACUUCUGGAAAAUCAACUUCAAAGACACUGCUGUCCUUCAAGCAGCUUAGACGGGUUUACAUGUGAUUCUGGUUCUGCAUGUAUGGAAAACUUGUGAAAACAGCAAGUGUGGGAACCAGUCAUUUGCUUCAUUGGGACACAAUAUUAUAACUGAAGCACAUAUGAAGAUGCAUCACAUCUACCAUUACUCUUGGCUAUACACUAUCCUAAUGGUCCGAGUUGGAAGUAAGCAAGACUUAUGACCCUGUUUAAUGCCUGCAUUGCUUACAGACAUGAGUAUGAUUAGAAUAUGUCAAGAACUAGGCUAGAGAGCACCAACCUGCGCCAAGAAGAACAACCUGUGCUUCUCCAUUGAAAGAACGGAGUGCAGCUUCAAGUUUUGAAUCAAACCAGAGGGUUCGAACCGCAAGAAGUACUCCUGAAAUUUCCCGAGCAUUGUUGAGCUGGUCAUUCUUUAUCUUUUCGUGAAGGUUUCUGAGGUAUGUUUCUCCUGCUAGCAGGUCUGCAAGUGGGUCAUGGAUCACGUGUUUCCACAGAGCUCUUCCAGCUGCCGUUUGGCAUGCUGAUCGUCUCAAAGGAUCCCACUCAUGUUGGAUUGAUGCAUGGAGUUUUUGAACUGAAUCAGGAAACUUGAAGACUAAUAAAAUAUAAUUGUGUGAGAGAGCAUAUAUUAUUUAAAGGGAAGAAUCAGGCAUCGCUGCUAGAGAUAAGAAAAGAGAGCCACACAAACAACCAACGCUCGAGAAUUGAGCAAAAAUCGUAUCCAGCUUCUCUGCCUUGAGAAAAAAAAAUAAAAGGAAGGCAGCAAUUUAGUCCACGAGGUCUAAAUUUCUUUUUGCCUGACCCUUCCUUUUCCGCUGUAUGUUUUGGUUGCACAAAUAGCAAUAGAUUGUGAAAUGAUCCCACUAGUACAAUACACCCCUAUUAUCAGGAUUUGGGUGGCUCUCAACUCCCUUUGUUGGAUUGCACUGUCCAAACAAGUACUCGUCUUUUUGGUCACAUACAGCAACUCAACUAACUAGCAGGAGCAAAGUCCCAGUCCCAUCCUAGGACGGUGACAAUAUAGCUGGCAAAAGAAUAGGUUUCAAAGAGGAUUACAUUCGUAAUUGAGUGGUUCUGUUCGAGACGAGGAGCCAAUUUUGAAAUUCAUUGCUGGUAAAAUAUAACGCCAUUGAAACGAUCUUUUAGAUAUUUACUUGAUAUAUUUUGUGCUAUCCUUGUUAUUGGACAUAUACUAGAGAUGAUACUUGUUAGCGUGGUCCCAGGUAAGAAUUUAUUGCAGCAGCUGCUAAUUUAUAUUUUACUGCCAUCAAAGUUCAAACUCAUAAUUUCAGUCUUAAAUAUCUGGAUAUUAAUUCUCAUUUAUUUAAUUAUUAAUGAAUUUGGUGUUGCAUGGUUAUUUUUAUGAAAAGCCAAGACAUUCUGCGGUGGCCGCUGAUGGUCCGCCCAUUUCAGGUGUUUUAAUCCUUUCUCUUGCCCGAGUGGGGACGGACAGAUUGCCAUUUGCUGAGUUGGGUUGCUCGUCAUUAUUACUGUAACCGUACCAUGAGAACUAUGAGGAGUUCAUCAGCCAAAUAAUGUAAUGAUUGGAUAAGGAUUUCUCUUUUCUUAUAAAAAGUGAAUGUACACGUGGCUUUCCAUU